GAUGAACGCUGGCGGCGUGCCUAACACAUGCAAGUCGAGCGACAACACGAUGAGCUCGCGCCCCUGACGUUAGCGGCGGGCGGGCGAGUAACACGUGGAUCACCUACCUCUAUUUCUGGGAUAAUUUCGGGAGACCGGUGACAAUACUGCAUAAUAUAUCCUACCGCUGGGUUCAAUAGAGAUUGACGCCUUUCCCGUCUCUUUUAGCUGGUUCCGCGCCGCAUUAGCUAGUUGGUAAGGUAACGGCCUACCAAGGCGACGAUGCGUAGCCGACCUGAGAGGGUGAUCAGCCACACUGGAACUGAGACACGGUCCAGACUCCUACGGGAGGCAGCAGUGGGGAAUAUUCGACAAUGGGCGAAAGCCUGAUGCAGCCACGCCGCGUGAGUGAAGAAGGUCUUCGGAUUGUAAAACUCUGUUGUUGGGGAAGAACAGCUGUGUAUGUAUCUAUGCACGUCUUGACGGUACCUAAUGAGAAAGCCCCGGCUAACUACGUG
rnacentral:rRNA from 1 species